AGAGUUUGAUCCUGGCUCAGGACGAACGCUGGCGGCGUGCCUAAUACAUGCAAGUCGAGCGGGACUCUUCGGAGUCCAGCGGCGGACGGGUGAGUAACACGUGGGCAACCUGCCUGUAAGACUGGGAUAACACCGGGAAACCGGUGCUAAUACCGGAUAAUUCUUUCUGACUCAUGUCGGGAAGCUGAAAGACGGUUUCG
rnacentral:rRNA from 1 species